rnacentral:rRNA from 1 species
GAUGAACGCUGGCGGCGUGCCUAAUACAUGCAAGUCGAGCGAACAGAUAAGGAGCUUGCUCCUUUGACGUUAGCGGCGGACGGGUGAGUAACACGUGGAUAACCUACCUAUAAGACUGGGAUAACUUCGGGAAACCGGAGCUAAUACCGGAUAACAUAUUGAACCGCAUGGUUCAAUAGUGAAAGGCGGCUUUGCUGUCACUUAUAGAUGGAUCCGCGCCGUAUUAGCUAGUUGGUAAGGUAACGGCUUACCAAGGCAACGAUACGUAGCCGACCUGAGAGGGUGAUCGGCCACACUGGAACUGAGACACGGUCCAGACUCCUACGGGAGGCAGCAGUAGGGAAUCUUCCGCAAAGGGCGAAAGCCUGACGGAGCAACGCCGCGUGAGUGAUGAAGGUCUUCGGAUCGUAAAGCUCUGUUAUCAGGGAAGAACAAAUGUGUAAGUAACUGUGCACAUCUUGACGGUACCUGAUCAGAAAGCCACGGCUAACUACGUG